rnacentral:lncRNA from 1 species
GAGGGAGAACUGGUGGGCGGUCCUUCCUGUGACACGACCCUUGAGUGACAGUUCUAUUUGAUUGCCUCCAGUACUGUGAGGAAAGGACACGACUCUAUGGUGAGGACUGAUGGACAUACAUUAUCUGAGAAAAGAAACUACCAGAAGAAUCCCAUCGUUUAUCAUGUUCUGGUUGGACUCCUUUCUUAUCGUUUGCUGGAGUUUGAACUUCAGAGCUAUGGUGUCAACCCUGCUGUAAUAUCUCAGGGGAGCUCCUAGUGUGGGGCUGGUGCCAUGGCUCACCCUCCAACCUUUCCUUCUUCACUUCAGCCUCCAGCUCUGAGCUUUCCCAUCCCCAGAGUAGCAAAUGUUGAAAGAAGUUGCACAGGUGACAAACAGCAUGUUUGGUGCUUCAAGAAAGAAGUUUGUAGAGGGGGUGGACAGCGACUACCAUGAUGAAAACAUGUACUACAGCCAGUCUUCUAUGUUCCCACAUCGGUCAGAGAAAGAUAUGCUGGCAUCACCAUCUACAUCAGGUCAGCUGUCUCAAUUUGGGGCAAGUUUAUACGGGCAA